UGCCUACGGGAGGCAGCAGUGGGGAAUAUUGCACAAUGGGGGGAACCCUGAUGCAGCGACGCCGCGUGGGUGAAGGAGUAUUUCGGUAUGUAAAGCCUUAUCAGCAGGGAAGAACAAUGACGGUACCUGACUAAGAAGCACCGGCUAAAUACGUGCCAGCAGCCGCGGUAAUACGUAUGGGGCAAGCGUUAUCCGGAUUUACUGGGUGUAAAGGGAGCGUAGGCGGCAGGGCAAGCCUGUUGUGAAAGCCCGGGGCUCAACCCCGGGACUGCAUUGGGAACUGCCCCGCUCGAGUGCCGGAGGGG
rnacentral:rRNA from 1 species